rnacentral:rRNA from 1 species
GACGAACGCUGGCGGCGUGCUUAACACAUGCAAGUCGAACGCUGAAGCCCUUUCGGGGGUGGAUGAGUGGCGAACGGGUGAGUAACACGUGGGUAAUCUGCCCUGUACUUCGGGAUAAGCCUUGGAAACGGGGUCUAAUACCGGAUCGGACAUGUCACCGCAUGGUGGUGUGUGGAAGGUUCCGGCGGUAUGGGAUGAGCCCGCGGCCUAUCAGCUUGAUGGUGGGGUGAUGGCCUACCAUGGCGACGACGGGUAGCCGGCCUGAGAGGGUGACCGGCCACACUGGGACUGAGACACGGCCCAGACUCCUACGGGAGGCAGCAGUGGGGAAUCUUGCGCAAUGGGCGAAAGCCUGACGCAGCAACGCCGCGUGAGGGAGGACGGCCUUCGGGUUGUAAACCUCUUUCGACACCGACGAAGGCCCUUGUGGGUUUGACGGUAGGUGUGGAAGAAGCACCGGCUAACUACGUGCCAGCCGCCGCCGUAA